rnacentral:rRNA from 1 species
GGCGGCGUGCUUACACAUGCAAGUCGAACGGUGAAGCCCAGCUUGCUGGGUGGAUCAGUGGCGAACGGGUGAGUAACACGUGAGCAACCUGCCCCUGACUCUGGGAUAAGCGCUGGAAACGGCGUCUAAUACUGGAUACGAGUAGCGACCGCAUGGUCAGUUACUGGAAAGAUUUAUUGGUUGGGGAUGGGCUCGCGGCCUAUCAGCUUGUUGGUGAGGUAAUGGCUCACCAAGGCGUCGACGGGUAGCCGGCCUGAGAGGGUGACCGGCCACACUGGGACUGAGACACGGCCCAGACUCCUACGGGAGGCAGCAGUGGGGAAUAUUGCACAAUGGGCGCAAGCCUGAUGCAGCAACGCCGCGUGAGGGAUGACGGCCUUCGGGUUUGUAAACCUCCUUUUAGCAGGGAAGAAGCCGAAAGGUGACGGUACCUUGCAGAAAAA